UGAGAUUCAGCUUUAGAAGAGGUGGGACUAGAGUUAGAGCUGUGCCAUCUGUGGACCAUAUAUCCACUGUGAUAUUGAAUUUAUUUUUUAUAGGGGAGGGUCCAUCACAGUGUAUUGCUACUGGGGGCCCUCACGUGUCGCCUAGGCGUUGCACUGAUGCCAGGGCCUGGCACACCCCCA
rnacentral:snRNA from 1 species